AUUAGAUGGACAAAGCUCUUUUCCAUUAUCUUCCGGGUUUGUUUCUGGGGUGGAGAAAGCUAGUGUGAAACUUGGAGUGCCUCCACAGUAGUUCAUCCCACUGAAGGUGGGAGCUUAUGGAAUCAAUGUCAAAUCCAACAGAGGUUGCCCAAGACCUCUUCACUCUAGUACUGUCCUGAGGCUGGGAUUCAGUCAUUACUGAUUGCCCUGGUCACCCUGUUCUUUUUCUUCCAGUGUGAAUUGCUGCCCUACUUAGCUGACUCACAACACUCAACUGUACCUUUGGGGACAACAGCUAAGAUAGGGUCGCACCAAGUUGCCCAGAAUACCCUUCAGUUUCCAGCCGAAGCUCAAGCUCUGAACUUGGGAUCCUCCUGCCUCAACCUCCCAAUAACCUGGGAUUACCAACCUGUGCUAGCAGACCCAGCUACAGAGCCAUUAUUAGGAGCAAAAAGUUUUCAAGGACAUGUGGGCUGAAGGGCUUCACAC
ensembl:lncRNA